rnacentral:rRNA from 1 species
AGUGAACGCUGGCGGUAGGCCUAACACAUGCAAGUCGAACGGCAGCACAGAGGAGCUUGCUCCUUGGGUGGCGAGUGGCGGACGGGUGAGGAAUACAUCGGAAUCUACUCUGUCGUGGGGGAUAACGUAGGGAAACUUACGCUAAUACCGCAUACGACCUACGGGUGAAAGCAGGGGAUCUUCGGACCUUGCGCGAUUGAAUGAGCCGAUGUCGGAUUAGCUAGUUGGCGGGGUAAAGGCCCACCAAGGCGACGAUCCGUAGCUGGUCUGAGAGGAUGCUCAGCCACACUGGAACUGAGACACGGUCCAGACUCCUACGGGAGGCAGCAGUGGGGAAUAUUGGACAAUGGGCGCAAGCCUGAUCCAGCCAUACCGCGUGGGUGAAGAAGGCCUUCGGGUUGUAAAGCCCUUUUGUUGGGAAAGAAAUCCAUCUGGUUAAUACCCGGGUGGGAUGACGGUACCCAAGGAAUAAGCACCGGCUAACUUCGUGCCAGCAGCCGCGGUAAGAC